AAUAAGUCAUGAAAAAAGUUUGAAAAAGGUUUUAAAAACUAAAUGGAGUGCUGUCAUCUGGUUCUUUCAUACGUGCAGUUAGGUGCUGCAAACUGAUGUUUUUCCCAUGUUAUUAUCUCCCCUGUUUGAAAGGGAAAGCCUAUGUAAAGAGGACUGUGUGGACUAAUACCACUGAUUUGGGAUGUCCUCUCUGAAACACUCGGUUUCGAUUUUUCAAAUAGGCUGUUGGUGGGAGAUCCAUCUCCUGUUUCAGAGGCAGAGCCAACAUUGCAGUGCUUUUUUUUUUUUUCUGUAUUGUUCUGUUAAAAACAACCAACCAAAACAAAACAGAACCCUCAAUAAAAACUCCCAAAACUGAAGUUUGCAGCCUUUGGCAAGCUGUUGACAAAUUAUCAAAAUGGCAAAGCAAUUCUGUAUUUGCCAGCAGUAGAAAUGUAGUCAGUGCUGAGGCAGAGUUCUUGCAGAGCUCAUCUGCACUGUCAGCACUUUAAAUAAAACCAGCUCAAGGCCUCUCCCCUUUUCAAUCUUUGGCAAGUCCACAUCUACUGAUAGAAACAGAGAUGUGUGAAAGUUCAGGAUAUCACAGUCCAGCAGUUCAUUGCACUGCUGGUUACUUUGCUAUUUGAGCAAGUAACUUUUCCCCAGUUGCACAGCAGAUUUUGAAGCAUUUCCCUGAAAAUCUGCAACCAACUGCACAUCCAGUGCUUUCAAUAAGGACAGGGGGGAAAAAAAAAUCAGUAAAUUUGGCCCUUAUGUGGAUGGAGGGAAAAAGAAGGGAGAAUUAUUACGAAUAACAAAUAGAAUUAGUAAAAGAUAAAGAAAAUUAUAUAAUUCUAAAAUUAUAUAGUUCUGGAUCUUUAAAUGUGCUUUUUACUAGGUAUUAAUUUCUUUGGUCAUAGCUCCCUGAGUAUGAAACAGACCAGUAAGAGGCUGGUCUAAUUAAAAAAUUAGGAUAUUUAAAAAAACAACACUGAUUAUUUUCAAUUAUUCUGUACCUGUUAGGAGUCUUUUAUAUUUUAACAUUUUAGGCUGUUUCUUGAAUGUGUUAAGCACUGGAAUCAAGGUAUUAAUUUAAAGAUAGAGAAUUAUAAAGUGAUUUUCUAUGAUCUGUACCUUAACACUCCCCAGAGAUUAUAGAUUUCCAUGUCUAAAGAAGUGUAUGCAGAAUUUUAGGAAAUAAAAAAAAUCAUUUUCUCUGAGUUGAGAAUGCUCUGGGAAAUUAAAAUGUUAAAUGGAAGAUUUAGUAGGGAAAAGGUAUUCUUUUGCUUUAGAAGGACCAUUGUAACAGGUCUUGUAGGUGUAGUAAAUAGGUAAACAGCACUCUGAAGUUAAACUUAGAGAUUAAGGAAAAAGCUCAUUUAUGUUCAGUGCUAAACACUGUGUUCUGCUGUUGUUAAACAGUGUUUUCUGCCACAAUCUUUCUGAACAUUCAAGUGCUUUUCUCUCCCCUGACAUGGUAUUUCAUGCCAAGAUCUUUUUAGUAGAAACCAGUAGGGGAUUAUUUUAAUUAAUUGUAAAUCAGCAGUCAAGAUUCAUUAACAUUUUUGUUAAAGAUUGUGUUAUUACUCUGGUUUCAAGAUUGUGAGUGUUCAGAUAUUAGCUUAGGAAGUUUUCUUUUCCAUGAUAGCAUUAAAUUUAUGUAUGGAUUCCUGAAAGAGUUUGGAGCUCAAAUUAGUUGUAAAGAGAAAUAAAAAUACUGCAGAGAGUUUUGCAGGACCAUGGCUUCCUUUAUUAACACUGAAUUCUUUUUCCAGCUUGACUUACAAUUUUCAGCAUUGUGUACUUACAACUACAGAGCAGUUUCUGGCAUUAGCAGCCUAAACAAAGCACAGUUCCAGGGCAUUUGACCUCUUGGUGCACUUGUCAAAACCUUCCUGGUGUAGCUGGGAGUGAAACACUCAGCAGCAGGCCAACUUCCACUUCGUGUGGGGACAGUUUGGAAGCAGAUGUGGGCUGGUAUCACGGAGGGUUUGUGACAUCCAAGCAGAUCUCACGUAGGGUUUGCUGGCUUAGCCUCGUGGCCAGGCUGUGACUGCUCCAUCUGAAAUGUGUGCAGUAGCUUGGAAAUGUGCAGACUGGUGGAGUGCAUGCAUCCUUUCUGGAAUAUGGGCUUGGGUCUUAUCUAAUCCCCUCCUCUGAGUCUGGAGGGUGAUGGGGGGAAGGAAUUUCUGUGCACAGCAACACAGCAAAGGCUUUCCUAUGGGAAAGCAGGAAGAAGGGAGUGUUGCCUUGAAUCAGCCGUGGUGUGGCAUUGUCAGUCACCAACAUGGUUCAGUUACUUUAAAUGUUCAAAAAAAGCUCACAGUCACAUAGCCAGUGUAUUUCAAAACACUGAAUUAACACUUACUGCACAUGAGGAAUUGCUGCUGGAGAGGCCCUAGGAGUGCAAAGGCAGGGCUAAAUAAGACUCUGUAGUGUGCAAAAGUAACAGAGUAGCUUAGGUUCAGCAUGCUCUCAGUAUUCAGGAGCUCUCAGCAUGGACAGUCAAGGUAUUUAUAGCUGCCCUUGGGUCCUGGGGAGUUAAAUAGUUCAGGUUUGCGUGAGGGGUUCCCAGUGACCCUUCAGAUUAGAUCUGGUGACGUUUAAUAUUACAAGCCAGUGCUAAUUAUACUGCUUACAGCUCUUUGGGCAAGCAGGAAGUGGUUUCCCAUCCUCAGCAUGCCCUAGCACAUAGAGAACAUUCCAUCCUCCCAGAUUUAAGUUCCUAGGUGGCCUUCGCCUGGAUGAAAUAUGUUUUCUUUACCUUUCCUUUGUAAGGCGUCACGAUUGUCAGCGUAAAGAGGUAGCUCACAGCUGCCUGGGCCCCACCCCAUCUCCUCACUGAGGGGAGGGAAGAAAGGGCAGCAAUUGGUGUCUUUUAAAUGUCUCAAGAUUCAUGGUGUGGAGUACCAGGGCAGUACCUGCAGCAGGAUCUGUGCCCUGGGCUGCCCCACGAUGUUGUCAGCCCUUGGCCUCUCUGCACUACCCGGCAGUGGAGACCUGCCAACCUUCUCUACUGGGCAGGGGUGGAAAGCAGGAGGGGGCUGUCACCCAUCUCCCCAUUCCUCCAUGAAUGGUGCUCACUGACAGUGCCUGACACGACUCUCUGCUUUGCUCUGUGCUUUCACUAAUAAAUUUCUUCCACUGAUGAUGGGAGGAACUCUGUAUUUUGAGGAGUAUUGGGAUAGACCUGGUUAUUUUAUAACUGGUUUAGUGACACUGAGGGGAUGGGAGUUGCUCUUCAUCUGCAGUCAUUCCCAGUGCCAGGACUCUCUCCUGUCAAUCCCAGGAGAGCCACAUGUCUGCAGUGCUGUAGCUGCCUGUUCCUGGUCUGUGCCCCAGCAUUGGCAGGGGCUCAGGGUGGCCUGUGGUGAGACCUUUCUAAAGCAGCUUUUAGGCUGUUUGUGCAGAGCUGGUGGGAGACUUGGUCUAAAACCUGCUGUGGCCCUAUAGUUCUCCGAGCUCAACCUUGUCCUCGUUUUGCAAGAGGCUGUCUCUGGAUCAUUUGCAGCCUUCCUGGGCUGUAAGGGCUGCUCUGCUGUGGGGCUUGCUGAGCUCUUUCUUACAUUAAUUAAUGUAGCUUUACCUUUGGCAGCAGCAAAGGGAGCUGCCAGAGGUCUUACAUAGCAUUUAAAAUGUCAGCUGCCGGUCCAGAGCAGCUGCCAGCGCUGGAGCUCUGGCAGCGGGAAUGCUGUCACAGGACAAAUGCAGGGAAUGUCAGUGUGGACACAGUGUGAGUCAGGCAGGGCAGGGACUUGUGUACAGAGUAUCCUGACGUUGGUAAAAUGCCCUUUGAAAUCUCCCAGCAAGUUGUCUCCUGUCUUGCUUGGGUCAUAUAUAAGGAAAUGCUGCUGGCUCCUGACUGUUGUGGUUUGUAUUCAGACCUGACUGUAAGUAGUUGUCAGUGUGUGGGGUCUGCAAUGAUAAAGUAAUCCUGUAGGACUGGGAGUCUCUCUUCUGGGAGAAAGAGUGAGGCAAAGCACUGCUGGUGAGAGACCUAAGAAAGAAUGUAGUUUCUAGAAUAAGUAAUUUUUGGUCACAUGUAUGUCAAUUUUAAUUCUUUUUAGUGGACUUUUUCUUUUAAAUGUUUGGAACUUAUCUGUUGAUUGAACUGAAUUAACAUGGGAAAAAUAAUAAAAAAAAUCGUAACUACUGUCCUUGCUUGUCAUCAUUGCCUUUGUGAAUAGUUGUGUCUGGAGAGCAGUUGUGUUUCCUCAGUAUUUUGAUUAGAAGGCUUGACUGAAGACAUUUGCGUGAAUUUGAAUCUUCUAUUUGCUGUCAGUGUGGGAAGUAAUUUUCUUUUUAUAUUAUUAUUUUUUUGCAAUGAGUUGUGCCAGCUGUUAUAAGUUAGAUGAAUACCCCUUUGCCUCUCACCUGUGAUUUAGAUCAGGCUUGUGAAUUGGACCUGUUAGAUGUAAGCAGGUCUACCAGAGGUGUCCAUAUAGGUACAGAUGAAUUUCAGAUCAUUUGGACUGAAUCUAGAUCCUUUAAUGAGACUUUAACUCUUCAACAGAGGAUUCUUUUACAUGCUGGUGUUAAAGAAGGGCUCAUUGGGGUUUUUUGUUUGGCUGGUUAGUAAUGUGGGAUGCAUCCAUGGAAUGCAGGGGUGUGUGAAUCAGAAGGGUCUCGCUGCCAGGCUCGUAGAUGUAAUGAUAGGCUGGGUGCUGCAAUAUCCACCACAGUGUUUUACAUAUGGAAUUAAUCUAUGCCCUUCCUUGUGCUGGAAAUGUGUGCCUUUCAUGCCCUGUGCCUUUGCAUUCACGAUGGGUUUGUGUUCCUUAUGGUGACAAAAGAUUUACAUUAAGCAGCCCAAACCAAUUUUGAAUACUAACAGGCAUAUAGAACUGUGCUUUUGAUACCACCAGUAAUGGAAAUACUUACUGGAAAGCAAAUCCCAGACUUGCUGAUGGGAAUGCUGUAGAGUCAACCAAAAACGUCCAUAAACCUUUUGAUAUUCUAGGUUUGCUUCUACAUACAAGGAAACUUGCAUAUCCAAUAAAGCCCCCAUCCUGCUCUGCAUCCCAGAUCUGGGUUAUAUGGCAGAUUUUUUUUUUUUUUUUUUUAAGUCUAGGAGGGUUUCUGAAAUGGGGAAAACGAAAGGCUCAGAUCAUUAGGGGGUUGUUGUCAAUACUGCCCAAGAAGUUGUAAAUUAAGAUCAUCCAGUCAGUCAUAUUUGUCUUUUGGAUUUUUUUAUCUGUUCUGACCUCUGAAUUUGAGGGAAAAUAAAAGCCAUAACAUACUUUUCUAAAUGCAAAUUUUUUUUGCUAAUACCCUGACCAUUCUUUAGUCUGUUCUUCCUUAUGGCUACCCCUUCAGCCUCUUCCUUCAGAGACAGGCUGAAAUUACAGUGGCCUGUCUUUUGUUAAUCUGCUUUUUGUAUUCCCAUGUAAUUUAUUUUCAUGUCUUUGAAAUUAUUUAGGAUGGCACUAAUGUGAUAUACGUGUUUCAGGCAUGAAGAGGUUAAUGAAGCUUUAACUGCCUCAUAAUACCAUUCAUGUUCUUGGCAGCCUUGGGGAUGGGAGUUAUUGCCUGCAGUUAUGUACAAGAACUAUUAUCCUCUUUGAUUGCCAUAUUUCUGUACAGCCAAACUAGAUUUAACAGGAUUUUUAGGGGGGUCCUUUUGUAUGUUCUUCAGCAGAAAUAGCAAUUUUAUAGUGCCCCUUUUGAAAAUUGAAAGGGCAGCUUUUAGUAAACAGGUAAUGAAACCAAGAAUUCCUAUGUAAAAUGAAUAAAAAUUAUGUUCAUGAAAAGAUGUUUUGAAGAUGUUUUUGUGAUUUAAUUUUUGGAAAUAAUUUCAUGGUAUAUGAAACCAUUUUCAAAGCCUCACUGCUGGUUUGAUUCUGGCCCUUUGGCUGCUUAAACCAUGGCUUUACCUGAGGAUGAAGUCACUAGCUUUUUUUUUUUCUUUUUAAUUGAGGAAGGAGAAAAACUGAAUGCAGUAAGAAUUAAAGUGGACAUGCAAUUUUUUAAAAGCUCCGAUGGAAGUGAUUAUUUAUGGAAAUUUCAGAGUAAUUACUGGUUACUAGUGCUGCGCUGGCUAUUUAAAAUCCAUCAUGUGACUGACAGUGAUGCCACUCAGUGCAUUUGGAUUGCUUAAUGACUCUUCUAGACAAUGUUGUGUUGUAAAACAGUAAUUAGGCAAGAUGUUGUUUCAGCCAUGCAGUUGGUUUGGUACUAAUAUGCAGUCUGAAGAAAUCAUGUUAAAACCGUAAUACCUAGGGGACGUUCACAGGCAGGACUAAAGAGCCAGAGAUGAAGUAAAAAAGCAAGGCACUUUCUUCUGCAGUACUCACUUCAUCUGUAUAAAGUCUAGAGCUCUUCAAAUUAAACCUGAAGGAAGGAAAUAAAACUUGCUUUAUUUGUGUAAAUGUGAAGUUGAGCAUGAUGGUAAAGAACUGACCGGAGAAGGACAUAACAAAGUGAAAGGUCUUGGUGAAUUACUCAAGCUGCUUUACUUUUCACUGUGUGAAGAUUUUGUUAUUCAGAUAAUAAG